rnacentral:rRNA from 1 species
CCCUUAGACACUCUAGGCGGCACGCGCGCUACAAUGGGUGGAAGACUGUGUUACUGCCCUCGAAAGAGGGGGUGAAUCACGAAUUCUUACCCGUGAAUGGGAUAGUUUGUUGCAAUUUUCGGACUUGAACUAGGAAUCCCUUGUAAGCAUGCUCAAGAAUAGUGUGCUGAAUACGUCCCUGCCCUUUGUACACACCGCCCGUCGCUACUACCGAUUGGAUGGUUUAGCGAGAACUUUGGACCGGAGCUCGGGUGGCCAGCAAUGGCCGCCCGAGACAUACUGGGAAAUCGCUCCAGCUUGAUCAUCUAGAGGAAGUAAAAGUCGUAACA